rnacentral:misc_RNA from 1 species
CCCCCCUCCCCUCUCUUCCCUCUGCUAAAGGGUGGGUGUAUAUGUUACUUUUUAGUGGUUUUGGUCGCAGAUCUGGUGCGGUACUUAGGGACUCCUUUGGAUCUGCUUGUGCCAGUUUGCCGUCGAUGGUUGAUCAUGGCAUUGGUUGAUCUAUUUUCCUUUGUUGGGUGCGUGUUUAGGCUAUGGGCAUGGGCUUCAUCUAUCGAUUUGAAGGAGGUCACCCCGAGGGUAAAAUGUUAGGCUCCAGUCUGUGGCUUGCCUCUUUAGCUAUAAAAGAUUGAGAGGUCAUAAGGGCUAUGCCUUCCUGUUUUUCCCCAUCUGUCUUUAUGAUUCUCAACUUCCAUGGUCUAGCGCGUGCUAUUGUUAUGGUUCAAGGUUGUUUAUUUGUUUGUUGCGUGGAUCUUGGAGAGUUGUCUUGCUUAGGACUUUCUGAUGUAGGCGUUUCAGCCGUUUAUGCCUUCGGUUGUGGUUCUUCAACAUGCAGCAACCCCCUCUCGAUGAAUUGAAUAACCGGCGGCACUGAUCUUUCCUUAUAUAGGUUCUUGGGUCCGGUUGCUAUAUCCACUUCAACAAGAUUUUCCUGUGGGCUCUGAUUUUUAGUGGGCUAGAGUAGGUUCUUUGGAUAGGCUUCUUGUAAUUUGGUCAUGGGUUUCUUUGUAUUGGGCUUUUAAGG